rnacentral:tmRNA from 1 species
GGGGUCGUAUUGGAUUUGACAGCGAUAGCAGUUGUUGAGUGCAAGCAUGUCGAGCAAUGUGGUGAGGCUCGUAAACAAUUAGUCACAAACUAUAAUUGACAACACGUCAUACAGACUUGCUGCUUAAUUUACGGAAUGUAAAUUGGCUUAAUCUAGUGGAAUAAUAGUACACAGACAAGUUCCCUCUCCUUCUUUUCAGCCUGUUAAUCGAGGGAACCAGAGGGACCAAAAAUUACAGGAUAGCAGUUGCGAUGCUUCUAAGCAGCUGUGAGAUUCAGAAGCUAAGUACAAUUAUUGGGUGUCUUUGUCCGAGGUUGUAUCGAAAAUCCAAUCGAAGAAUAAACAUGUAGAAAGCUUAGUAAUUCGUCGUUUGGACGAGGGUUCGAAACCCUCCGACUCCACUG